AAAACGGCCCUUUUCAGGGCCACCAAAAUUUUCUACUUCUCGUUGG
rfam:Habropoda laboriosa contig4908, whole genome shotgun sequence.